GUGUCAGCCGCCGCGGUAAUACGAAGGGGGCUAGCGUUGUUCGGAAUCACUGGGCGUAAAGCGCACGUAGGCGGACUUUCAAGUCAGGGGUGAAAUCCCGGGGCUCAACCUCGGAACUGCCUUUGAUACUGUUGGUCUUGAGUCCGGAAGAGGUGGGUGGAAUUCCUAGUGUAGAGGUGAAAUUCGUAGAUAUUAGGAAGAACACCGGUGGCGAAGGCGGCCCACUGGUCCGGUACUGACGCUGAGGUGCGAAAGCGUGGGGAGCAAACAGGAUUAGAUACCCUAGUAGUCC
rnacentral:rRNA from 1 species